GCCCUUCAGAAGGAAUUAAUGCUUGGAAACUGGUGCUAAUACCGUAUCACAAUCGAAACCGCAUGGUUUCGUUUUGAAAGGCGCUUUACGGUGCCGCUGAUGGAUGGACCCGCGGUGCAUUAGCCAGGUGGUGAGGUGCCGGCUCACCAAGGCCACCAUGCAUAGCCCACCUGUGAGGGUGACCGGCCACAUUGGGCCUGAGCCAUGAUCAAACUCUCUACGGGAGGCAGCAGUAGGGAAUCUUCGGCAAUGGACGAAAGUCUGACCGAGCAACGCCGCGUGAGUGAAGAAGGUUUUCGGAUCGUAAAACUCUGUUGUUAGAGAAGAACAAGGGUGAGAGUAACUGUUCACCCCUUGACGGUAUCUAACCAGAAAGCCACGGCUAACUACGUGCCAGCAGCCGCGGUAAUACGUAGGUGGCAAGCGUUGUCCGGAUUUAUUGGGCGUAAAGCGAGCGCAGGCGGUUUCUUAAGUCUGAUGUGAAAGCCCCCGGCUCAACCGGGGAGGGUCAUUGGAAACUGGGAGACUUGAGUGCAGAAGAGGAGAGUGGAAUUCCAUGUGUAGCGGUGAAAUGCGUAGAUAUAUGGAGGAACACCAGUGGCGAAGGCGGCUCUCUGGUCUGUAACUGACGCUGAGGCUCGAAAGCGUGGGGAGCAAACAGGAUUAGAUACCCUGGUAGUCCACGCCGUAAACGAUGAGUGCUAAGUGUUGGAGGGUUUCCGCCCUUCAGUGCUGCAGCUAACGCAUUAAGCACUCCGCCUGGGGAGUACGACCGCAAGGUUGAAACUCAAAGGAAUUGACGGGGGCCCGCACAAGCGGUGGAGCAUGUGGUUAAUUCGAAGCAACGCGAAGAACCUUACCAGUCUUGACAU
rnacentral:rRNA from 1 species